rnacentral:rRNA from 1 species
CCUACGGGCGGCAGCAGUGGGGAAUAUUGGACAAUGGGGGGAACCCUGAUCCAGCCAUGCCGCGUGUGUGAAGAAGGCCCUCGGGUUGUAAAGCACUUUCAGUGAGGAAGAACGCCUGGUGGUUAAUACCCAUCAGGAAAGACAUCACUCACAGAAGAAGCACCGGCUAACUCCGUGCCAGCAGCCGCGGUAAUACGGAGGGUGCGAGCGUUAAUCGGAAUUACUGGGCGUAAAGCGCGCGUAGGUGGCUUGAUAAGCCGGUUGUGAAAGCCCCGGGCUCAACCUGGGAACGGCAUCCGGAACUGUCAAGCUAGAGUGCAGGAGAGGAAGGUAGAAUUCCCGGUGUAGCGGUGAAAUGCGUAGAGAUCGGGAGGAAUACCAGUGGCGAAGGCGGCCUUCUGGACUGACGCUGACACUGAGGUGCGAAAGCGUGGGUAGCAAACAGGAUUAGAUACCCCGGUAGUC